GAUGAACGCUGGCGGCGUGCCUAAAACAUGCAAGUCGAGCGGUAAGGCCCCUUCGGGGGUACACGAGCGGCGGACGGGUGAGUAACACGGGGGAAUCUACCCCAAACUGAGGGAUAAGCACCGGAAACGGUGUCUAAUACCGCAUAUGGUCUUCGGAUUAAAGCUUCGGCGGUUUGGGAAGAGCCCGCGUAAGAUUAGCUAGUUGGUGAGGUAAAGGCUUACCAAGGCGACGAUCUUUAGCUGGUUUGAGAGGAUGAUCAGCCACACUGGAACUGAGACACGGUCCAGACUCCUACGGGAGGCAGCAGUUAGGAAUUUUCCACAAUGGGCGAAAGCCUGAUGGAGCAACGCCGCGUGCAGGAUGAAGGUUUUCGGAUUGUAAACUGCUUUUAUGUGCGAAGAAUAUGACGGUAACACAUGAAUAAGGAUCGGCUAACUCCGUGCCAGCCGCCGCGGUAA
rnacentral:rRNA from 1 species